AAAUCAAUCCAUAAAAAUCGAGUAAUCAACUUGGCUUAUGAAUUUCUUAAAACUUUGGCUCGUGCCAAAACUCAUACUCGGUGAUACCUUGUGCAGGGCAUCCAACCGAGUUCGCCAAGGCUGUUUAAAAUUUUUGUAUACACUUAAAAUAUAUUUUUAGUUUGAGAAAAAUACAGCCGUUCCUUGGCGUUGGCUGAGUUCCCCUUCAUGUGGUGGUUUGGCGUGAAGUGAACCCUAAGCUUUACCCCAGGAGAUACCCUACGCGCCUCUCCGUUCGAGGUAAGAAUAUAAUGGAGUUUACCGUGCCCCUCUAAUAGGCUGGUCCACGGAACCCCCUCUGC
rnacentral:lncRNA from 1 species